rnacentral:rRNA from 1 species
CAGGCCUAACACAUGCAAGUCAGGGGCAGCACAAGGAGCAAUCUGAGGUGGCGACCGGCGCACGGGUGAGUAACACGUAUGCAACCUGCCUGUAAGCGGGGAAUAACCCGUUGAAAGACGGACUAAUACCGCAUAAUACUAAAUUACUGCAUGGUAAUUUAUUUAAACAUUUAUGGCUUACAGAUGGGCAUGCGCAUGAUUAGCUAGUUGGAGAGGUAACGGCUCCCCAAGGCAACGAUCAUUAGGGGUUCUGAGAGGAAGGUCCCCCACACUGGUACUGAGACACGGACCAGACUCCUACGGGAGGCAGCAGUGAGGAAUAUUGGUCAAUGGACGAGAGUCUGAACCAGCCAAGUCGCGUGCAGGAAGAAUGUCCUUAAUGGAUUGUAAACUGCUUUUGCAGGGGAAUAAAGUGCAUCACGUGUGAUGUUUUGUAUGUACUCUGCGAAUAAGGAUCGGCUAACUCCGUGCCAGCAGCAGC